CCUACGGGCGGCAGCAGUGGGGAAUAUUGCACAAUGGGCGCAAGCCUGAUGCAGCCAUGCCGCGUGUGUGAAGAAGGCCUUCGGGUUGUAAAGCACUUUCAGCGGGGAGGAAGGCGUUAAGGUUAAUAACCUUGUCGAUUGACGUUACCCGCAGAAGAAGCACCGGCUAACUCCGUGCCAGCAGCCGCGGUAAUACGGAGGGUGCAAGCGUUAAUCGGAAUUACUGGGCGUAAAGCGCACGCAGGCGGUCUGUCAAGUCGGAUGUGAAAUCCCCGGGCUCAACCUGGGAACUGCAUUCGAAACUGGCAGGCUAGAGCCUUGUAGAGGGGGGUAGAAUUCCAGGUGUAGCGGUGAAAUGCGUGGAGAUCUGGAGGAAUACCGGUGGCGAAGGCGGCCCCCUGGACAAAGACUGACGCUCAGGUGCGAAAGCGUGGGGAGCAAACAGGAUUAGAUACCCUAGUAGUC
rnacentral:rRNA from 1 species